rnacentral:snRNA from 1 species
AUACUUACCUGGCAGGGGAGAUACCAUGAUCACGAAGGUGGUUUUCCCAGGGCGAGGCUCAUCCAUUGCACUCCGGAUGUGCUGACCCCUGCGAUUUCCCCAAAUGUGGGAAACUCGACUGCAUAAUUUGUGGUAGUGGGGGACUGCAUUCGGGCUUUCCCCUG